GGCGGAGGGUGCAAGCGUUGUUCGGAAUUACUGGGCGUAAAGGGCUCGUAGGCGGCCAACUAAGUCAGACGUGAAAUCCCUCGGCUUAACCGGGGAACUGCAUCUGAUACUGGAUGGCUUGAGUUCGGGAGAGGGAUGCGGAAUUCCAGGUGUAGCGGUGAAAUGCGUAGAUAUCUGGAGGAAUACCGGUGGCGAAGGCGGCAUCCUGGACCGGCAUUGACGCUGAGGAGCGAAAGCUAGGGGAGCAAACGGG
rnacentral:rRNA from 1 species